AAAUUGCAAAGAGCCUAGCUGGUUCUCAACAGGUGUGUCCCCUUGAUAUUUAGGGCUUCUCCUGGUGGGAGAAGAGCACGUCUCAGAGUAGCCAGCGAGGAGGGAGUUUCUCUACACAACCCCCAUGUCUCUUAUCUCCCCUUGGUCAGAGUCUCCCCCAGACGGAAGUAACCGCCCCCCUUCUAGCUUCCAGACUGUGUAGUGAAGCCCUUUCAGUGGCCACUGGGAAAGCCAAAGCCUCCCCCUCGCUGUGUGGAUUUCAUCCAGAUCCAGAAGUGGAGGGAUCAGCCAGAAGUUCCGGGAGGGAUUAACACAACAUUGUAACUCAACUAUACCUCAUUUUAAAAAAAGAAAAAAUACUACAUCUGCAUCAUCAGGAGUUCAGCCUACAGCUGUCCCAGAGAGGGGUCGGAGAACCUGGGCUGCCAGAGACAAGAAGCUUCUCUGCCCACUGAUGCUUUUAAUCCUCCAUCGAGAAGGUCCACGAAUGCCUAAAUCACAAGCUUGUCUUAAAAGUCUUUGCUAAUAGCUUCACAAUUCAAAUGGUGGAAGGUGGACGGUUGUCUGUCUCUGUUUUGAAAUGAGCCUAUAUCAAAGGUAGACAGUAUGAGCCCUGAAGGUCAUUUCCAGCCUGCAAUUCAGAGAGUAUGAGCAGAGAAGAGGUGAGCUGACUCCUGGGCAGCCUCCCUCUGAGUCUAUGGUGGUAGACUUUCCCUUUGAGCAGGAGGCAAAGCCACCAUGCCUUGGCCCCUGUAUUUACCUUGAUCGAGCUUUGAAAUGCCAGUCUGACAUGUGUACAAACAAUGCGUGGAGCAGUGUAGACGCCUCGGCUGGAGGUCUUAAUUGCCUGCUAAGAACGAGAGAUGAUCCUGAUCUGGGAAGCUGCCUGGGGAAAAUGGUCCAUUUCCCAGAGCAGGACGCAGAGCAAGGGGAGCCAUAUGGCCCAGCGGUGGAACAGCUGUCUCUCAAGAAGGAACAAUUUGGGAGCUUCCACCAUCUGGGUGAAUGAUGAGACUUGCAAUUUUCAUGCAUACAUUAAGGCAACCCACCAACAGAGCAAUCAAGGGGACGGAUGAUGGAGAGAGAUGGAACGGCCCUGUGCCCUGUGCCCUGGCCUGCAGCAUGGCCAUCCAUCUCCAGAAACCCUGACUCAGCGGCCGCCUCCUGGCCGGGCUGCCCUGGCCGGGGCUUAUGUCUAAGGUCACGUGGGCUGAUGCCCUGUUAGUUCCCCUGAGUUCCCUACCGCGUCAAUCUUCCACUUCCUCC